rnacentral:misc_RNA from 1 species
GACGAACCGUGCGAACGUUAUUCGGAAUCACUGGGCUUAAAGAGUCCGUAGGCGGCCAUGUAGGUGGGGUGUGAGAUCCCACGGCUCAACCGUGGAAUAGCGCUCCAAACCACGUGGCUCGAGGGAGAUAGAGGAGAGCGGAACUGAUGGUGGAGCGGUGAAAUGCGUUGAUAUCAUCAGGAACACCGGUGGCGAAAGCGGCUCUCUGGGUCUCUUCUGACGCUGAGGGACGAAAGCUAGGGGAGCGAACGGG